AUGUUUUUGUCUUUUUGUUGUGCUGCUUCAGUUUGCUUACUCCGAAAACAUAUCCGUCUGAUGAUUCUCCUGCUUUGUGCCAGCUUGUGUUCCUUUUUUAUUUAUUUGAUGUGUAGGAUGGUGUGCACAAUCUGCCAUUCGCAUUGUGAGAGUGACAAUGAGCAGACUUUUCGCAUUGUCAUCCGUGAUGACUACGAAGCUUUAGCGAACAUCCCAUGCACUGAAAGGAAUAUGUUUAACCAGAUGUCUGGGUUGAACUAUAAGGCGGACGACCGUAGGUAUGUUUUUGAUGUGUACAGGGGACACGAAGCCACACUGAUUGGAGGUGAUGAUUGGACCAAGUUCAAGCGCGACUUCGACGUGGGGCAGGGCAAUGUAGUUGUUUUUGACAUGACUGGUGAACAGCAAAGGUAUAUGUGGCUGGAGUUGAGGCUGAAGAAGAGGGAGGAGCUGCUGAAGAAGUUGUUACAGUUGAUGAAGAGGAAGAGGUUGUCAAUGAUGAUCACGGGCUUGAAGAUGCACUAG
rnacentral:rRNA from 1 species